AUUGAACGCUGGCGGCAGGCUUAACACAUGCAAGUCGAGCGGGGAAAGGUAGCUUGCUACCUAACCUAGCGGCGGACGGGUGAGUAAUGCUUAGGAAUCUGCCUAUUAGUGGGGGACAACAUUCCGAAAGGAAUGCUAAUACCGCAUACGCCCUACGGGGGAAAGCAGGGGAUCUUCGGACCUUGCGCUAAUAGAUGAGCCUAAGUCAGAUUAGCUAGUUGGUGGGGUAAAGGCCUACCAAGGCGACGAUCUGUAGCGGGUCUGAGAGGAUGAUCCGCCACACUGGGGCUGAGACACGGCCCAGACUCCUACGGGAGGCAGCAGUGGGGAAUAUUGGACAAUGGGCGAAAGCCUGAUCCAGCCAUGCCGCGUGUGUGAAGAAGGCCUUUUGGUUGUAAAGCACUUUAAGCGAGGAGGAGGCUACCGAGAUUAAUACUCUUGGAUAGUGGACGUUACUCGCAGAAUAAGCACCGGCUAACUCUGUGCCAGCAGCCGCGGUAAUACAGAGGGUGCGAGCGUUAAUCGGAUUUACUGGGCGUAAAGCGUGCGUAGGCGGCUUUUUAAGUCGGAUGUGAAAUCCCUGAGCUUAACUUAGGAAUUGCAUUCGAUACUGGGAAGCUAGAGUAUGGGAGAGGAUGGUAGAAUUCCAGGUGUAGCGGUGAAAUGCGUAGAGAUCUGGAGGAAUACCGAUGGCGAAGGCAGCCAUCUGGCCUAAUACUGACGCUGAGGUACGAAAGCAUGGGGAGCAAACAGGAUUAGAUACCCUGGUAGUCCAUGCCGUAAACGAUGUCUACUAGCUGUUGGGGCCUUUGAGGCUUUAGUGGCGCAGCUAACGCGAUAAGUAGACCGCCUGGGGGGUACGGUCGCAAGACUAAAACUCAAAUGAAUUGACGGGGGCCCGCACAAGCGGUGGAGCAUGUGGUUUAAUUCGAUGCAACGCGAAGAACCUUACCUGGUCUUGACAUAGUAAGAACUUUCCAGAGAUGGAUUGGUGCCUUCGGGAACUUACAUACAGGUGCUGCAUGGCUGUCGUCAGCUCGUGUCGUGAGAUGUUGGGUUAAGUCCCGCAACGAGCGCAACCCUUUUCCUUAUUUGCCAGCGGGUUAAGCCGGGAACUUUAAGGAUACUGCCAGUGACAAACUGGAGGAAGGCGGGGACGACGUCAAGUCAUCAUGGCCCUUACGACCAGGGCUACACACGUGCUACAAUGGUCGGUACAAAGGGUUGCUACCUAGCGAUAGGAUGCUAAUCUCAAAAAGCCGAUCGUAGUCCGGAUUGGAGUCUGCAACUCGACUCCAUGAAGUCGGAAUCGCUAGUAAUCGCGGAUCAGAAUGCCGCGGUGAAUACGUUCCCGGGCCU
rnacentral:rRNA from 1 species